rnacentral:rRNA from 1 species
GACGAACGCUGGCGGCGUGCUUAACACAUGCAAGUCGAACGAAGUGGCGAACGUGUGAGUAAAGCAUAAUCAACCUGCCCUUCAGAGGGUGACAACAGUUGGAACCGACCGCUAAUACCGCAUACUGAAGGAGGGGAUUGCGUCUGAUUAGCUAGUUGGGGGGGUAACGGCCCACCAAGGCGAUGAUCAGUAGCCGGUCUGAGAGGAUGAACUGCCAGAAUGCGGCGGAGACACGGCCCAGAAUCCUGCGGGUGGUAGGAGUGGGGAAUCUUCGGCAAUGGACGGAAGUCUGACUGAGGAACCCCGGGUGGGUGGUGACGGCCUUGGGGGUGUAAAGCUCUGUUAAUCGGGAAGCGUUACCGGACUAGAAAGCGACGGCUAACUUCGUGCCAGCCGCCGCGGUAAUAC